rnacentral:rRNA from 1 species
UGGGGAAUAUUUGACAAUGGAGGAAACUCUGAUCCAGCAAUUCUGUGUGUGUGAAGAAGGUUUUAGGACUGUAAAACACUUUUAGUAGGGAAGAAAAAAAUGACGGUACCUACAGAAGAAGCAACGGCUAAAUACGUGCCAGCAGCCGCGGUAAUACGUAUGUUGCGAGCGUUAUCCGGAAUUAUUGGGCUUAAAGGGCAUCUAGGCGGUAAGACAAGUUGAAGGUGAAAACCUGUGGCUCAACCAUAGGCUUGCCUACAAAACUGUUGAACUAGAGUACUGGAAAGGUGGGUGGAACUACACGAGUAGAGGUGAAAUUCGUAGAUAUGUGUAGGAAUGCCGAUGAUGAAGAUAACUCACUGGACAGAAACUGACGCUGAAGUGCGAAAGCUAGGGGAGCAAACAGG